rnacentral:rRNA from 1 species
GAUGAACGCUAGCUACAGGCUUAACACAUGCAAGUCGAGGGGCAGCAUGGUCUUAGCUUGCUAAGGCCGAUGGCGACCGGCGCACGGGUGAGUAACACGUAUCCAACCUGCCGUCUACUCUUGGACAGCCUUCUGAAAGGAAGAUUAAUACAAGAUGGCAUCAUGAGUCCGCAUGUUCACAUGAUUAAAGGUAUUCCGGUAGACGAUGGGGAUGCGUUCCAUUAGAUAGUAGGCGGGGUAACGGCCCACCUAGUCUUCGAUGGAUAGGGGUUCUGAGAGGAAGGUCCCCCACAUUGGAACUGAGACACGGUCCAAACUCCUACGGGAGGCAGCAGCGAGGAAUAUUGGUCAAUGGGCGAGAGCCUGAACCAGCCAAGUAGCGUGAAGGAUGACUGCCCUAUGGGUUGUAAACUUCUUUUAUAAAGGAAUAAAGUCGGGUAUGGAUACCCGUUUGCAUGUACUUUAUGAAUAAGGAUCGGCUAACUCCGUG